rnacentral:rRNA from 1 species
UACGGAGGGUGCGAGCGUUGUUCGGAAUUAUUGGGCGUAAAGCGCGUGUAGGCGGUUUGGUAAGUCUGAUGUGAAAGCCCCGGGCUCAACCUGGGAAGUGCAUUGGAAACUGUCAGACUUGAAUACGGGAGAGGGUAGUGGAAUUCCUAGUGUAGGAGUGAAAUCCGUAGAUAUUAGGAGGAACACCGGUGGCGAAGGCGGCUACCUGGACCGAUAUUGACGCUGAGACGCGAAAGCGUGGGGAGCAAACAGGAUUAGAUACCCUGGUAGUCCACGCCGUAAACGAUGAGUACUAGGUGUUGCGGGUAUUGACCCCUGCAGUGCCGCAGCUAACGCAUUAAGUACUCCGCCUGGGAAGUACGGUCGCAAGACUAAA